rnacentral:misc_RNA from 1 species
AGAAAACAAAGACAAACUACCUCUCAAAAUCCACCCCUACAUGAUCUGCUUGCAAAAGCAAGCUACAAGACUCUAUGGGAGUCUGCCAUAACGUGAUAACAUGGGCACAACCAUGGCCUAACUUGGCUAGAUCAACAAAUGUGGAACCCAAAUAAGGCACAUAUUGUUAAUAAGAUCAUCAGGGUUGAGAUUUACUUCUUAUUUUGUUAAAGUUAUUGUAAUAUGGAUGAUUUCUAAUUUUUGUUCUUUUUCCUUUCUGUUGCCUUUCUCUAACCAUUUUGUCUUAUUAAUUUUAUAUUGAUGGAAAUUAGUUGAUUGGGGAGUA